rnacentral:rRNA from 1 species
UAAUACGGAGGGUGCAAGCGUUAAUCGGAAUUACUGGGCGUAAAGCGCACGCAGGCGGUUUGUUAAGUCAGAUGUGAAAUCCCCGGGCUCAACCUGGGAACUGCAUUUGAAACUGGCAAGCUAGAGUCUCGUAGAGGGGGGUAGAAUUCCAGGUGUAGCGGUGAAAUGCGUAGAGAUCUGGAGGAAUACCGGUGGCGAAGGCGGCCCCCCGGACGAAGACUGACGCUCAGGUGCGAAAGCGUGGGGAGCAAACAGGAUUAGAUACCCUGGUAGUCCACGCUGUAAACGAUGUCGAUUUGGAGGUUGUGCCCUUGAGGCGUGGCUUCCGGAGCUAACGCGUUAAAUCGACCGCCUGGGGAGUACGGCCGCAAGGUUA